ACCUAUUUUUUUACAGGCAAAUGGUGGAUGCCUUGGGAUCGGUAGGCGAGGAAAGACGUGGCGUGGCUGCGAUAAGCUUCGGGGAGGUGCCUAGCAACCUUUGAACCGGAGAUUUCUGAAUGGGGAAACCCAAUUCUGCUAUAAACAGAAUUAGCUCUAAGCAUUAGCAAGGAGCGGCGACACCUGGGGAAGUGAAACAUCUCAGUACCCAGAGGAAUAGAAAAAAAGCUUUGCCUUUGGCAGAGCCAUUCUCUUAGUAGCGGCGAGCGAAAAGAGAGUAGCCCAAACUUAACUUGCGCUUUGCACAAGUUAAGGGUUGUAGGAGAAUUUCGUCAGGAUACCAAGUAUUGAGUAUAGUUUUUUGUGCUUCAAUACUUGGAUAUCGUUGAGAGAGUUUACAAAGUAAAUUGUUAGCCGAACACUCUGGAAAGAGUGGCUAAAGAGGGUGAUAGCCCCGUAGGCGAAAAUGAUUUACACUCUUUGAAGUUUUUCCUGAGUACCGUCAAACACGAUAAUUUGGCGGGAAACAAGCUGGACUAUCAGCUAAGGCUAAAUACUAACCGAUCACCGAUAGUGAACUAGUACCGUGAGGGAAAGGUGAAAAGUAGCCCGGUGAGGGCGGUGAAACAGUACCUGAAACCAUUUUGCCUACAAAGAGUCAGAGCCCCUUUAUGGGGUGAUGGCGUGCUUUUUGCAGAACGAGCCAACGACUUUAGGUGUACAGCUAGCUUAAGCUCUUCCGGAGCUGAGGCUUAGCGAAAGCAAGUGUUAACGCGCGUUUAGUUGUAUGCCUAAGACCCGAAGCCAGGCGAUCUUGCCUUGGGCAGGAUGAAUUUAGACGAAAGUCUAAAGGAGGUCCGAACCCGUAGGUCGUGCAAUUCCUUGGGAUGACCUGAGGUAAGCAGUGAAAAGCUAAUCGAGCUUGGUAAUAGCUGGUUCUCCUCGAAAUAGUUUUAGGACUAGCCCUUCAUGUAUGAUUCCGGGGGUAGAGCACUGGAUGGGAUAUCUUGGUUUUUCCGGAUACCUCAACCAAACUCCGAAUACCGGAAUUUUUGUGGAGGAGUCAGACUGUGGGGGCUAAGCUCCAUGGUCAAAAGGGAAACAGCCCAGACCCUCAUCUAAGGUCCCUAAAUUUGAACUAAGUGUUAUAAAGGAGGUGAAAUUCUUCAGACAACUAGGAGGUUAGCUUAGAAGCAGCUAUCCUUUAAAGAGUGCGUAAUUGCUCACUAGUCAAAGGAUUUCGCGCCAAAGAUUUAGCGGGACUAAGUUCAAUACCGAAGAUAGGGAGCUCUAUGUUUUUACAUAGGGUUGGUAGAGGAGCGUUCUCUUGGCAACGAAGUUAAAUCGUGAGGUUUGAUGGAGCUAAGAGAAGUGAGAAUGUUGGCAUGAGUAACCGCAAACGCGUCGAGAACACGCGUCACCGAAAACCUAAGGUUUCCUUGGCAAUGACAAUCAGCCAAGGGUUAGGCGGUCCUAAGGGAGAGCCGAAAGGCGUACCCGAUGGACAACCGGUUAAUAUUCCGGUCCCAUGUUUUUCUUUCUUCAGAGUGCGGAAUCUAGUAGGCAAGGCGAGUUAUUGGAUUCUCGUUGGCAGCCUGAGUUUUAACAAGGGCUGUCAGGAAGCUUAUCUUCGGAUAAGUGAACCUUGUUGAGCAGGUUUCCAAGAAAAGCUCUGACGAGUUAAGGAAAAUGUGUCCGUACCGAAAACCGAAACAGGUGGGUUGGUAUAAGAGUACCAAGGUGAACGAGUGAAACCUCGUUAAGGAAUUCGGCAAACAAGUGGCCGUAACUUCGGGAUAAGGCCUGCCGC
rfam:Candidatus Parcubacteria bacterium 4484_255 ex4484_255_scaffold_13985, whole genome shotgun sequence.